rnacentral:rRNA from 1 species
UACGUAGGGUGCGAGCGUUGUCCGGAAUUAUUGGGCGUAAAGAGCUUGUAGGCGGUCUGUCGCGUCUGCUGUGAAAAUCCGGGGCUCAACCCCGGACCUGCAGUGGGUACGGGCAGACUAGAGUGUGGUAGGGGAGACUGGAAUUCCUGGUGUAGCGGUGAAAUGCGCAGAUAUCAGGAGGAACACCGAUGGCGAAGGCAGGUCUCUGGGCCAUAACUGACGCUGAGAAGCGAAAGCAUGGGGAGCGAACAGG